UUUUUUUUUUUUUUAAAUUUUUUUAACGUUUAUUUAUUUUUUGAGACAGAGAGAGACAGAGCAUGAACGGGGGAGGGUCAGAGAGAGGGAGACACAGAAUCUGAAACAGGCUCCGGGCUCUGAGCCGUCAGCACAGAGCCCGACGCGGGGCUCGAACUCACGGAACGUGAGAUCAUGACCUGAGCAGAAGUCGGACGCUUAACCGACUGAGUCACCCAGGUGCCCCUGAGAUUCUUGAUUAGUUAUCUUUCCAGGAUGUACAGUCAUUUCUAUUCACAGUCUCUCUUAGUUACCCAUUUUUGGGGGUGGACCAUUUGCACAAAACAGAGGUGCCUUUGACAAGUAUUACCACUGUUUCAGUCUGAAAGAUUUCUCUCCCUUUUGGCUGUCACAAUUUAUCUAGCUCCUGCAAUGCAUGGUCCUUAGCCAUAGCCAGAUUCAGGACAUAAAACUUGAGGGACCAAACUCGGCUUCUUUGUUGCUGGUGAUACCAGAGAAGAAGCUGUCUGGCAUUUUUAGGUUGAGACUGUAAUGACUCUGGUAAUUAUUUUUCAGCUUUUAACUGAGUCAUUAUUUUUCAGCGCUUAACUGAGGAUACAAUACCAGGCAAAAAGGCAUGCAGCACAUAAUGACUAAAAUACAAUUUUGACUCCACUUGACUCUUCCCUGUUUCAGACACUGAAGACCAACCCACUACUAUCUGGAUACAUCCCUAUACCAUAACUCCUCCACAGAGUUCCUAAGUUGAAUUUGUAGGAAUCUAUUCUUACCUGCCUGCCUCCCACACAUUACGGAGUGAUAGGGCAGAACCAGUCCAGGUUUCCCCCUAGGUUGCUGUUCUUCUAAAGGGCCUGCAGGUACCUGUGUCCUUCAGAAACAUGACUCAGAAUCUGUAUCCCUGGCCUCAGUUCAGCUCUUUAUACCUAUACUAUGCUUCCUUCACCCUCCGGGAGGGAGGGAGGCUAGGCUAGGCUGUCAACUUUUCCCUUUUCUAGAGCAGGAAGCAGAGGUCCACAGAAGGACAGUCACUUACCCAACACAAAAACCAGGACCUAGAUCUCCCUAACUAUUUUCUCCCAUUGGCCACCAGCCUACCUUAGUGUAAGCCAAAAAAUGAUAGCAUGUGGUGGCUCUGGCUGCACUGGUUGAAGAGCGAGAUCUAUAAUGCGGGGAGAAAUGUGGGCUGAGCCCAGAGGAUGCUCCCUUGUGGAAAGAGAUGCAGGGUGGUGGGGGUGGGGAGCAGGAGGAUUAUAUUUGGUGGGGUUGCUGAGAAACCGGACACGGCCGAGGGGGCCCACAGCCAAGAGCACAGCCUCCUAGGUAUAGACUCUGAGUCUUUGCAGCCCACGACUGCUCAAUAGGCAGAUGAAUUCAGAACCUUUUCUCUUCUUAGUGCUACUGCACCCAGGGACCUGCAGGGGUUGGUGGAGCUUCAUUUCCUUGAGCUCUAGAAACCAGCUAGAGCCUGAGGGUUGUCCAGUAUGCUAAGGCCCUGCCCUUGAGGAGCCACUUUGCAGGGAGGCUACAUUCUCUGCUGAUUCAUUGUGCUUACUCCUAUGGCACCUACUUCUGUAACUCCUACCCACAUUCUCCCAUAGCAGGACUGACUUUGCCAGUCUCCUUUUUUCAUCUUGCCCCAGCCACCAGCUUUGAGUCUAAUACAGAGCAGAGAGGAUGUCGGUUGACACCUCCUUCCCCCACCUCUCCAGAUCCCUGCUCGACAACCCUACCCUAUGGUCUCGGAGAGCUUGGCCUGAGCCACUGGUGGGUCUGGGGUCUCUCUUUGUAGGACAGUGGGCUUUUAGACCAGAGAGCCAACUCUCUGUCAUCCACACCCACAGGGCCCAGAGAACCCCAGAGGUGCUCCAUCCUCAAGUUCUCAAUGGUGUGGGAUUGUAAUCUGUGGUCUAUAGGGAGUAUAAUUAUGAUGUGUCGCCUUCACCUAAUACCACAGUUUGUCUAUAUCCAGUGACCAUGAUGGGAACAGAAGGGGUGAUGGGGGAUGGAUCCAGGCAGGCUUCCUUUAGAUAGGGUUUUGGGUUUGUAGACUAACCAUGUUGGGAAGAGGGCCCAACAGGGAAAGAUCUGGGACCAUGGCGGGUAAGUCUGGGGCAGGAAUGCGGGGUAGGGCAGGGGGUCUAACCUGGUGAGUGUGGCUCAGCGGGGCGGCUGAGGUGUCUAAGUUCAAUGUAGAAGUCCUCGGGCGGGUACCUGGCCUCCAGGGCACUGAUCUGGAAAUGGGAGUCUAGUGAGAGGAAUGACAGGGAGGAGCCAUUAUUCCCAGGGCCCUGGUAUGGCAGGGUGGGGAGUAUGGAGGGGGUGAGGGUCAGGGUGGGGCAGGUUAGAAGGAAUUAGGGCCCCUAUGGAUAGUAGCCAAAGGGGCUAGGGCCAGGGGGAUCUGCUAGAGUUGAGGCCAUCGACCUUUCCUCCCUCACCACCCCCCCCCCCCCCACAACAGGAAUUGGUGCCUACCAGGACAUCAGGGCAGAGGAAGCAGCCCUUGAAAAGAAGUACUUUGGUAGGGCCUGGCUCAGGGAAGGGUCCCUUUCUCAGAUGGUUCCUGCUCCCCACACUCAUUGUCUCCAGGAGCAUCUGACCAUCCAUCGCCUUCAGGAGAUCCUGCAAGCACGACCACCCACCUCCAACAAUCAACCUGGGUGUCCCCAAGGAUACCAUGUGACUCUGGGGUGUGUGUGUAUGUGUGGGGAGGGGCAGGAGAGGUGAUGCUGGGGGCAUAGUCUUUACCUGAGAGUGAGUAGUCCGUGCUGGUCAUCCUCAUGGCAGGUGUGUAGGAGACACGGGGAGCCAGGUCACGGCCUUUCUCUUUCUGUCGCCGCCGGCGCCAGGCGAACAGGCCCAACAGCACCACAAUGAGGAACAACAGGAGGACGAUGCCUGUGACCGCACCCACCGAGUGCCGCUCUGCACCCAGUGCCGGGCUGAUCUUGGUGUAGGGAUUCAGCUCCUCCAUCAUGAGGGCAGCUGUGAAGGGAGGGAGGACACGAGUGUGGGGGAGGCCUGCUUGCUCUUCAGAUCUUGGCCCAGGGCCUAGACUCCUCUAAUGUUAGGAGACCUGGGUUCUGGUCUUCGGCCCUAUUCUUCAAUCCCCGUGUGAUCCUGUCCCUCACCGUGCCUGUGUUCUUCAACUGUCUACAGCAGAUGGACUUCCAGGGUCACGACCAAGAACAAAUGUGAUCACGGAUGGCAAAUAAAAUAACAACAAAUGU